rnacentral:rRNA from 1 species
UACGGAGGGGGCUAGCGUUGUUCGGAAUUACUGGGCGUAAAGCGCACGUAGGCGGCUUUGUAAGUUAGAGGUGAAAGCCCAGGGCUUAACCCUGGAAUUGCCUUUAAGACUGCAUCGCUAGAAUCGUGGAGAGGUAAGUGGAAUUCCGAGUGUAGAGGUGAAAUUCGUAGAUAUUCGGAAGAACACCAGUGGCGAAGGCGACUUACUGGACACGUAUUGACGCUGAGGUGCGAAAAGCGUGGGGAGCAAACAGGG